CUCCCUACUGGCCGCUCGAAGCUUGAAGCUGCAGUUCACUUUCGCGAAUGUAAGGAACCCAGCUUCUGUGUGGUGGGCACUGAGAGCAGAACCGCAUUGAGUCGGAGUGGAGCACAGAAGUGUAGGUCCUUUUGCGCUGUUUCAAGCUAAACCCGUGUCACUGAUGCCGUACAGAAGUUACAGAAUGGGACGCCACCCCAAACAUUACGUCAUCCGCUGACCAUUUCCUUGCGGUCUUCCCACCGUCUAAAUCGCCAUAUAAUCUGAUGGAUGGGGUCCUCGCGCGGUUCAGCUCCUGGGCGACAGCGUAACCCGUCGCUCCUCCCUCUGCGGGAGGGCGUGGACGGGGCACGGGAUUUGGAGCAUGGAAGGAAUCGGGACCUAAAGGAGUCCCAGGACACCGGAACCAGGACUCCCCGGCGCACCCGGAGAGUUUCCGAGCUCCUUUGAAGUAUGAAUCAGAACUUCUGGAUGGGAAUCCUGGAGCCACCACUUGCCCUAUGGUCGCAAUGGGCAAGUCGCUCAACCUCCCAGAUCCUGUUUUCUCAUGAGUAAAACGGGGAUUAUAAUACCCACCUGACAAUAUUAUUUUUGUGAGAAUUAAAUGAGUUUAGAAUGUAAAAAAAAAAAAAAAAAAAAAA
rnacentral:lncRNA from 1 species